rnacentral:rRNA from 1 species
UACGUAGGUGGCAAGCGUUGUCCGGAAUUAUUGGGCGUAAAGAGCUCGUAGGCGGUCUGUCGCGUCGGCUGUGAAAACCUAGGGCUCAACCCUGGGCCUGCAGCCGAUACGGGCAGACUAGAAUUCGGUAGGGGAGACUGGAAUUCCUGGUGUAGCGGUGAAAUGCGCAGAUAUCAGGAGGAACACCGGUGGCGAAGGCGGGUCUCUGGGCCGAUAUUGACGCUGAGGAGCGAAAGCGUGGGGAGCGAACAGG